UACGAAGGGGGCUAGCGUUGCUCGGAAUUACUGGGCGUAAAGGGUGCGUAGGCGGGUCUUUAAGUCAGAGGUGAAAUCCUGGAGCUCAACUCCAGAACUGCCUUUGAUACUGAGAGUCUUGAGUCCGGGAGAGGUGAGUGGAACUGCGAGUGUAGAGGUGAAAUUCGUAGAUAUUCGCAAGAACACCAGUGGCGAAGGCGGCUCACUGGCC
rnacentral:rRNA from 1 species